UUGUCAGUCAUCUCUUCUCUCCCUGAAGCAAAUAAGCUGACAGAUAAAGCUGUUGUCUCCUAUUUGUGUGUGUGUGUGUGUGUGUGUGUGUGUGUGUGUGUGUGUGUGUGCGUGCGUGCGUGUGUGUGUGUGUGUGUGCACGCGUGCGCGUAUGUGUGUGUGUGCAUGCGUGCGUGCAUGUGUGUGUGUGCGUGCGUGUGUGCAUGCGUGCAUGUGUGCACAUCUAUGUGUGCAUGCGUGUGCACGCAUGUGCGUGCAUGUGUGUGUGCAUGCAUGUGUGCAUGCAUGUGUGCGUGCAUGUGUGUGUAUGCAUGUGUGUGUGUGUGCAUGCAUGUGUGCGUGCGUGUGUGUGUGUGUGUGCGUGUAUGUGUGUGUGCGUGCGUGUGCACGAGUGUGCAUACAUGUGUGUGUGUGCAUGCGUGCGUGUGUGUGUGGGGGUUUCUGGGGUAAUCGGACUCUCGGCCAGGACAGUAAACUUACCCAGAGCCAUGUCAUUUGCUCUGCCUCAGUGUGUUUCUGCUAUAAAACACCACACUAUCUGAGCUAUUGGAUUUGUUCAGCUUAUCCGGUCUUCCACUGCUGCAACCUGAUUGCACAUUUAGUUGAUUUAAUUUGUUGUGCCUCUGACCAGACAACGUCGGGGGUUUGACACAAUAGCUGCGGUGAGGAGCAACUCUCACAUGUCUCUGUGUGAGCUGAGAGUCUUCUUCGUGUUACAUGGGGACGUUAGUAAAGUGUCUUUGGCCCAGAUUGAGUGGACUCAUGGGACAGUGUUCUGCUUAUAGAGAGACAAUAAGAGGACCUCUGAAGUAAAGCUAAUGAGCUCUAACACUCGGACAUUAACCAAACCAAGCUAUCUGCUCCUCUCUCUCUCUCUUACCUUCUAUGAAGGAAGAUAAAUGACACUAAUUUUGCGUGACAGCAUGCCAGUUUAGAAACAUGAUAUUUUAUUUAAUUAUUUAUUUUUGCAGGGAUCAAUUGUGCUGUUCUGGCUACAAACUCAUUGACAGAAAGUCGUUGCAGUUUGAAGUUGUUAUUGUGAAGAAACGACUUCUGCUCGUACGUUUGCAAAUGUAAUUAUCAUUCAGUUUCAAACUGAUACAUUUUGUGACCAUGAAUGGUUUUGAGUAAUUGUGGGAUGAAUGAACCAUCAGUAUAAACACUGAUUUAGAAGAAUAAAAGACAAGUGCCCAAAGUAGGCUGGAAAUCUCUUUUCUUUAAACAUUGGUCACAUGGCAGGAUUCAUAAGUAGUCGGCCGGUUUUCAAAGCAUGAGAGAACACGCGUGGUGAUUAAAAUCACAGAUGUACCAGUUUUGGUUCUACAAUGUGUGGUGUGCUAGCCUGGCAUGCAAUUCUGUAUAUCACAGUCUGAUCGCCACCCAUUGACAGAGCCCAGUCGUGGGGCAGAAUCUACGGCCAUCCUUCAAACUGUCUCUGCAUGCUAUUUGACAGCGCUAGGACCAAUCAGAGCAGCGAGCAACAUGAAAGCAAAAUCUUUUGCCACUGCUAGGGUUGGUCUAGAUUUCAACACUGGAGGUGUUCAGCAUCCCAACACAAACUACACACAAACCUCCCCGAACAGUAAAAAUGUUACUUUGGCGAAAACAAUUAUGGUCGAGGAGGAGCGUGAUGUGUGCUUUGCAGUGGUGCCUUGUGAGCUGAUCGUGCACUGCUGUUUCUGGAAGAGAGCCAGAAGAGAGGUGAGCAGAACAUGGCAGGAUCUAGAGUGUUAUGUCCUUAUAUUUAGACCUCUCACCUCUGCAGGCUGCACUAUGAAGUGAAGGAGAAUGAGGGACAAAUGUGUCCAUAGCUGAGUAUUGUGCUUUGAGGUCAUCAUGCUUUGAGCAGAUGAUUAAGUGAGACACACAGGCUGCUGGUGUCUGAAAACUCAAGCUGAAAAACCAACUAACAAGAGUAAAUGGACAUUUAAACAAAAAUGCAAAUGUUUGACUACUAUUGCUCUUAAAGGCUCGUAAGGUAGGCUUUUGUAUUUGAAUAUUAUGCAGCAGUAGCUUUUGCGUCUUCUUUGACAGUGUAUGGUGGACUGCCCCAUUGAAUGGCAUCCGUCGUGGUGAGUCUGUCACUUUGUUCGAUGUCCAAUAUCAUGUGGAGGCAGACAUAGAUUCCACUCUUGACUGAGAGCCAUCAAUGGGUCAUGGCCAGACUAUAAUUACAUAUACAGGGUGAAAAGCCAGGCUAAAGUUUUUUACUCCCAAGUUAAAAUUUCUCAUCUGAGCCAGGAAUAUUAUGUGUGAAAUCAGUUUGUGUGUAGUUUUUGCUAAGCUGCUUUACACCACACAAUGACUAUGUUUACAUGCAGCCGAUAUCUGUGUUAUGAUCGGGUUAAGGUCGGUAUUCGCAGGGCCGGAGUGGGACACAUUUUCAGCCCUGGAGUUUCAGACCCCAGACCGGCCCACUUAACGAAUUAUUAUUAAAAUCAUGUUAGAACUUUAUAUGUAUAGUCUACAAAAGCACACUACUCGGUAAAGCCUUGUAAUUCAGCGUAAGAAAGAGUUGCUUUACAAUGUAGGUUUAUUUGAACAUCAGUGCACAUCUCCAACAUUGUUCUUUACAACACAUUCUCUAACAAUAUAACAAUCCACCUUCUGUUCAAACAGCUGUUCUGAGAUUUUCAAACCUUUAAAAUGAAAUGACUCAGCACUCCCUUUCACACUUUUUCCAGUUUCCCUAGACUCACCUGCACACAAUUAAAAUAAUCAUCUGUAAAGCUUUAGCACAUUUGAUAUGGAAAACACAUUUUUUGUAACCAAUUAAAAUAUUUUCUAUGGCAAAAUAUGCAGGCUUAUUUCAUUUUACUUUCAUUCUAAUAGCGAUCUGUUGUGGGCUUUGUGCAUUUACUAAUAAAAAUACAACAGGUCACUACUAUUAUUUGGACAUUAAAAUUAUUAUAAUGAAACUGAUGUUUGCUUGUUUGCACAUGAGUUGGCUCACCUUCUAUCCCAACAGGAGCAAUACCCUCACUGCUGGCUCCUGGCUCUUCUUCUGACACUACAUUGUGUGAAAAUUGUCACAAUUCAGCAUUCAUUUUCCUUUUUUACACGCUUUCUGAUCAAUGCUGAAUCAUCUAGCAUUUUAGAACACUUUCAUAUAGAGCCAGGAUAGUUUUCAUCAUAUAAAUUUUAAUAAUAUUCAGUUCACUGACUCAAUAAGUAAUCCUACCUGUACAUGCCCGCUCUGGAAUGGUGGGUUUCUGCCUGGUGCUUAUUAGGCCUACUGGAUCUUGUGUUUGACUCUGAGGGGCUACAAGACAGUUUUGUGGCAUCAGUCACAUCAUACUGUUAAUUAUAUUACACAACGUUAUGUCAUGAUGCCAUAUAAUUCAUUAUUGAUGCUCAAUUAACUUGAUUUGCAGUCGGUAAAGUUUAACAUCUUGACUUGCCUUACCCGUUUUAUCUUCAUUUGAAGUUAAAGACCGCACGCUUGUUUGAGAAAAAAAAGGUGCUCAUUUUUGCACAUUUAGCUGCAUCUGUUUCCAGCGCUUUCCUCUUUUUAAUUCUUGCCUUCUCCGCGCCACCCUUGCUCUCUCUACUUUCCAUCUUUCCGUCAACUGCGAGGUCACGUGGUGCGCACAGGCGCAUAUAGGGAAAAAAGAAAAAAAAAAACGAGCUGCAGCCUGCAGGUAGAGACAGCCGGGAGGAGCGUAUGUGAUCAGCCCGGCGGCCUCAGUGCCAUGACUGAACACCGGCACCAAAAAAAAUAAAAAAUAAAAUGAUAAAAAACAAAAACGAGAGCACCGGCCCAUGCGGCCCAAACAUCGCGCGGCCCACCGGGAAUUCUCCAGACCCUCCCGAUUAGCCACUCCGGGCCUGGGUAUUCGGGUUUCUGAGUUGAUCAGAAUAACCCGUUUACAAGCAUAAAUAGAAAGAGUUACCCCUAAUUUGCAUAACCCGAUUUAAAUGCAGACGCUGGGGUAGCGUCAGGAUGUAUGGACUACGUCCAGACGCAAUAUGCAUCAUAUUUCGCUGUCUCUGUACUUUCGGCCGUCAACAAAAGACAUAAUGUUCAUACUUUUCACGAGACCGAUGAAGACAGAGGUUUCCUCGUCACUCCAAAAGUGUGGUGCUGUGCCGCGACUCGCCAUGUUGCUCCCAACUUGUUGUUUACUUCUGGCGUUCUGGCGCAUACAAGACGUCUCGCUACUCAAAAGACCAAGAUUCCUUGCGAACAGAGCAUGCGCAGAACACACGCUUUGAUGGGGAUAUCCCGGUAUGCGUUUACACGACCAAACAUUCGGGUUAGAAAAGGGUUACCCCAGGUGUAGUAACCGGGUUUUUAAAAACCCGGUUAUGAGCAUAUCCGGGUUUUUGGCGGUGUUUACAUGGACCUGCGGAACCGGGUUAUUGUGAAUAUUCGGGUUUUAAAAGGGUUACUGGCUGCAUGUAAACGCACUGACUGUAGGACCAAAACAGCUCGUUCUGUGAUUCUUUUAUAAUCACGUGUGGUCUGUUAUGCUUUGAAAAUUGUCUGACUAUUUAAAAAUCCUGCUGUGUGAUUUGGGCUUUAGGUACUCUAGUAAAGAGCCAGUAGAGAGAAUGAAUUGAGUUUUAGUUUCCAUGUAAACGCUGUGAUUGUUGACCGUUUCUAAUAUUUCAUUACUGGGCAGUGUCAAGAUAAACACUUGUUUUGAAAUGAUUUCCCAUUUCAGAUCUGCAAUUGCACUCAUGUACUGAAACAAAACGACGUCUUUAUCAGAUGUUCAAAUGCAUCAUGCAAUUGUUGUUCUUUAAACCUGAAGAAAAAAUACAAAAAUAUCUUGAUUACAGCUUCAUAUGAUAAAAGCUGUUUAGGCUCUGGUCCCAACACUCCAGCCACAAAUACAGUCUCACAUUUUGUAUUUUUGUGCCACAGAGGUACACUUAAUAUCGAUGUGCUGCAAACACACGCUUCGUCUCCAUCUGUGCCACACAGAAGAUCCAGGGAACCAAUGACGGCACGAGACCCACGGAUGCCUGGCAGUGAGCUGGAGGUAAUCUUCGGGUGUCAGCAGGAGGAGGCGACCACCUGCAUAACGGAGCACCCUGGUUCUGAGCCAGUUGCACCUUUGUGCAGCUCUUUGGGGAGGCGAUGCUCAGCAGGUUAAACAACUGUAAAAUUGAUUUUGGUCGUAGUUUUUGUUUAGAUCUCAUACAUCACCAGUUUUUCUUACAGACACAUGCCUCCAUGUGGUCAGGUGGUGUUGGUGUGAUCUGGGAGGGCACACUCAUGUCGUCAUCUCCUUGUGCCGUCUCCAGGAUCAUGAUGGGAGUUCUCUGUGCCUAUAAAGCAGGGGUAUUUACUUCUGGGCCUGGAGGGCCGGUAUCCGGCACGUUUUAGUUUUAUCUCUGUUUCAACACACCUGAUUUCAGUCAGCAGAUAAUUAACAGGCUUCUGCAGAGCUGCUGCACAGGUAAUUCAACCACUGAUUCAAGUGUGUUGGAGCAGGGAAACAACUAAAACGUGCUGGAUACCAGCCAUCCAGGACUAGAAUUGAAUACCCCUGCUAUAAAGCCUUCCUCCCUCCUCCGGACUUUAAACAUUAGUGUUUUAUUACGGUUUACCUGAUUUAGUAAAUAAAUCUCAAUUUAUAAA